AAAGUUUUCCUAUUUUUUGGCUAAAAUCAAGUGUAGUAUCUGUUCUUAUCAGUUUAAUAUUUGAUACAUCCUCUCUAUUCUUAAUAGAUAAUGCAGGGGCUGGGCGGUGGUGCAGUUGGUUAAGCACACAUGGUGCAAAGUUCAAGGACCCGCA
ensembl:snRNA U2 U2 spliceosomal RNA